GACCAGGACGUUGAUAGGCUGGGUGUGGAAGCGCAGUAAUGCGUUAAGCUAACCAGUACUAAUUGCCCGUAAGGCUUGAUCCUA
rnacentral:rRNA from 1 species